rnacentral:lncRNA from 1 species
AUGAAUAUUGAAUGAAUGAUUUAAUGAAUAAUUUUGUUAGAAGUAAACAUAAAGAUUACAUUAACUAAUAGUGGCAAUAAUAAAUAAUAAUCAUAAAUGUGUUAGUACUGAAGCUAUUUGAGAUUUAAUUCAUUGUACUAAAACAUGCAUUGACUUAGACACACUGUACUAAAACAGAGAAAAUAUUGAUGGUUGAGAAAAUAUUCCCAGAGUUCCUUGGUGGCUCUGGGAUCUUACAUUGCCAUUUCUGUGACUCAAGUCAUUGCUGUGGUGCAGGUUUGAUCCCUGUCCUAGGAACUUCUUUAUGCCAUGGGCACAACCAAAAAUAAAAAAUAAAAAUCAACUAAUCCAUCAAUCAAUAUGCUUUACAAUUUAAAAAAAUAAAAGAGAAGAGUUCCUGCCAUUGUGAAGUGGGUUAAGAAUCUGACUGCAGCAGCUCCUUUCACUGUGGAGGCACAAGUUCAAUGCCCAGCCUGGCACAGUGGGUUAAGGGAUCUGGAGUUGCCACAGCUGUGGGGUAGGUUGUGGCUGUGGCUUGGAUUCAAUCCCUGGCCCAGAAACUUCCAUAUGCCGUGGGUGCGGCCAUUAAAAAAAAAAAUUUUGUUUUAUCAGUAAGGUUUGUACCAGAAGCAAAUACAGAAAAUGUUAAACAGUAUCUAUUUGGAUUGUGAAACAAGUUCUCUCCUUUCUUGCAUUAUGAUCUGCAAUUAUAUUUGAAAGUUGAACGUCUGAAAAUUAGCAAUUUUUUUAUAUGUAUGAGAAGCUUCAUACCAAAAGAAAUACAAAUACAAUUAAAUUGCAAAUUAAUAUUACUUGAUAUAAUUAAGUUAACUAAUAUUUAACAUCAGAUAUAGACAACAAAUAAUUUUCUAAGGCAAAUUACCACCUCCAAUUUAACUUCUCAAAAUUUUCUUAGAGUAAUAUUGAGUAAGCAGAAGAAACCAAUAAUGUUGGAACACUGUCAGAUAGUAAUUUCAUAAGAGAGUAAACAAGAAAAUUUGUCAGGGUUCUGAGCAGGAUAGUUCAGUGACCUUAACAUUUAGAGCUACUGUGUGAACUUCUGUGAAUACAGUUUUAAGAAGAAUUUGAACGCUGGCCUUCUCUUUCCAGCUUUCUUUUGCUUAACAUUCAUUGCUGUCUUUCCAUUCUCGUUGCACCUUCUUAGACAUACUUCUCAGCUUCUUCCAUCAGCCUUCCAUUCUAUAAAAGUUCUCUAAAUGGUCAUCAUGGACGGCUGCAUUGCCGCAUUUAUUUGCUUCAUUCAGUCCAGAUAGAUCCUUAGUGAAUGUUCUGUCACUUUGGGUUCCACUGAUCAUCUCCGUCCUUAAACUAUCUCUUUCUCCGCCUGUCCCUGUCCGUCUCUUCUGAAUACAGAUGUGCUCCA